UACGGAGGGUGCAAGCGUUAUCCGGAUUUACUGGGUGUAAAGGGUUCGUAGGCGGUGUGGCAAGUCGGGAGUGAAAUCUCUGGGCUCAACCCAGAGUCUGCUUCCGAAACUGCUGUGCUUGAGUGUGGGAGAGGCGCGUGGAAUUGCAGGUGUAGCGGUGAAAUGCGUAGAUAUCUGCAGGAACACCCGUGGCGAAAGCGGCGCGCUGGACCACUACUGACGCUGAGGAACGAAAGCUAGGGGAGCAAACAGG
rnacentral:rRNA from 1 species